UGUUCCUCAGGACUGCGCUUUGCUAAAGAGAAGGGUAAUAAUAUAUGCUACUUUAGCCCGCUCCGGAGGAAAAGAUGAGGUUGCAGUUCAACAAAGUUCAAACAAGGGAGCACUGGGCUAGGAACCCGCGACAGGAUCUGACUCUCCUGAGUAGUACCAUGGUGGGGGCAGCUGAGGUUCCUGGAAUCCCUGUGGAGUAGCCAUUGCUUGGGACAGUGCGAUGGUGAAACUGGUGGUCUGGACAGUAGCAGUGGAGUCUCGAGCCAGGACAGUCAGGGAUGACAUCUGUUUGGUGAAUAGACGUGCAGAUGCUGAAAGAUUGUGGUGACACUGUACCAACAUCACAGAUGGAAGCAUCAGCAUCGACUCACCCUAAACAUGUGAAAUCUGUGAGACUGGAGUGAUGGGCAAAGCUCGGCGAAGAAGGCAGCCUCCCAUCAAUGUUUCGCUGAUUGGAAGAGCUGCAUCUUUCUUUCCCAGGAGGCCGCAAGAUCGCAGUCAAAUCUCAAGGAGAUGCCAACUACCUGCCACACCAGCACGAUUAGAGCUAUCUACAAACAUGAAUGGAGUAAAAGCAGGAAGUAAGAAAAAACAAGACUAAGAAGGAAUCAUGGGAAAAAUUCCGAAAACACCCGAAUAGUGAUUCACGCA